AUCGUUGUCCCGCGAGUCUUGACCAGCAGUUGGCCUUGAAAAAUCCGAGAGUAGGAAAAACUACUUCUCCCACAAUGCUGCGGGAUGAGCUCCUCGGCCAGUGAAGACCCAGGGCUCCUCCGAAAGGCAGCAAAGGGGCUCUGGAUCCUCGUCCUGCAGUUCGGAGGGAAGGCACUUGAGAAACAUCCGUGAAGAAACAAGCAAAAAGUCCUCUUCCUCAUGAAGCUUACGUGGGGUAAGCAUAAUAGGUAAAUAAAUUCUACGGUACAGUGAUGGUACUAUGAAAAGAAGAAAAACAGAGAAGUGGAAUGGGAAGCUCUGGAAGAAGAGAGCGUGUUGCAAUUUAAAAUAUGCCCGAAACCGACUUGCCAUAAAGCUGGUAAAAGGGAUCGAACUCAGGACCUUGCACUUUCGAGGCAGGUGUGGAACCAUUGAGCUAAAUCCCAGGCCCUCCACAGCAUUUUUGGACCUGAGAGUCUUUCCAGUGGUGACCACUAUGUUUUCUGCUUGAAGUACACAAAAGGCAAUGUAUUUGUAGAAGAGGGAGAAAGCCCUGAAGAGGUGCACAGGAACCGAGUGAACCCCAUAGGGAUGCAUUUCUCUGGGAGCCUCUGCCACUGAAGAAUGACUCAGCCCAGAAGGCUCAACAAGAGGCUUCUCAAAUCCACACCUUUUCAGACCUCCUGCUGCUCGUGCCCACACUUACCCCAAAGGGAAAGCCAUCUCCUCUGCAGUUUGCAGUCGGCACACAAAGUCUGCUCUUCUUCCCUUCUUAGCUAUGGUCUAUGGUAUUUAAGCAACCACUCCCUCCCCUCACACAGCUUCCUUGAGUUUUAGUUGUCUUCUUGAUAGCAAUCUUUACUUUGAAGCAAAUGUUCUUCUUUGUUAGAAUCUAAUAAUAAUGGCUUUGAAUUUUCCAGGAAAAUAGAAAGGAGAACUACAGAGGGAAGAGGGGGGAAAAAGGAAAAAAGAACAGAAGGAAAA